AUGACUACUCUAACAGUAUUAGCCUAUGGUCUUUUCUUCUCUCGAUCUUCCAUCUAUCAGAUACCGUACUUCGAGGCACCCAAGAGAGAUCACGGAUGGAGCCAGAAGAAGGAGGCAUUGGGAGGAGGCCAAGCUCCCGACCUCACGCACACGUCCAUACGGGAGAGCUCGUGCAGGCAGCCGAGACUCCUGUACAUAGCCGGUCAUCUCUUGUGCACCUGUCUACACACGUCGCAAGACGGUGGUGGCGAUGGACACCAUGCCGAUCAUCUCCUCUCACCGCGAGGACGACGGCAAUGUGUCCGGGCGCCGCUCACGCACAACCCACGGGGCACUGUUAUUUCAAGACGACGGUGUCGGGGUUGCCGUUCGUGUGCAGCCCACGGCGAUCUCUUCAUGCCGGACUCAUCACCAGCGACGACACGCCGGGGUUGCCGUUCGUGUGUAGCCCCUGGCGUUCUCUUCAUGCCGGACCCACCACCGGCGAUGACGCACCGAGGUUGGCUUUCAUGUGCAGCCCCCGGCAUUCUCUUCAUGCCGGACUCACCACCGGCAACGACGUGCACCCUCCACCGGCGACCGCGCGAGGACGAUGACGACGCACCGGGAUGCCGUUGGCGGCUAGCUCCCGGUGCAGUCCUCGUCGACGACUCCCACACGCCGACCUACCUUGAAGACGACGAUGCCGGGGUUGUCUCUCGUGUCCAACCCAUGGUUAUCCCUUCACGCUGGACAUGCCACCGGGGUUGCCCUUCAUGUGCAGCCUCCGGCGACCCCAUCACGCCAGACUCACCACCGGCGACGGCGCGCCGGGGUUGCCCUUCAUAUGCAGCCCCCGGCGACCGCUUCACACCUGACUCACCACCGGCGACGAUGUGUCAGGUUGCCGUUCAUGUGCAGCCCGCGACGAUCCCUUCAUGCCGGACUCACUACCGGCGACGACGAGUCGGGGCUGUUGUAGCCACCGGGGUUGCCAUUUCGUGUGCAGUCCCAAACGAUCCUUCACGCUGCUCUUAUCACCGGCGAUGA
rnacentral:rRNA from 1 species